AGAUUAAGUUAUUAAGGGCGCACGGUGGAUGCCUUGGCACUAGAAGCCGAUGAAGGACGUUACUAACGACGAUAUGCUUUGGGGAGCUGUAAGUAAGCUUUGAUCCAGAGAUUUCCGAAUGGGGAAACCCAGCAUGAGUUAUGUCAUGUUAUCGAUAUGUGAAUACAUAGCAUAUCAGAAGGCACACCCGGAGAACUGAAACAUCUUAGUACCCGGAGGAAGAGAAAGAAAAUUCGAUUCCCUUAGUAGCGGCGAGCGAAACGGGAAGAGCCCAAACCAACAAGCUUGCUUGUUGGGGUUGUAGGACACUCUAUACGGAGUUACAAAGGACGACAUUAGACGAAUCAUCUGGAAAGAUGAAUCAAAGAAGGUAAUAAUCCUGUAGUCGAAAAUGUUGUCUCUCUUGAGUGGAUCCUGAGUACGACGGAGCACGUGAAAUUCCGUCGGAAUCUGGGAGGACCAUCUCCUAAGGCUAAAUACUCUCUAGUGACCGAUAGUGAACCAGUACCGUGAGGGAAAGGUGAAAAGCACCCCGGAAGGGGAGUGAAAUAGAACCUGAA
rnacentral:rRNA from 2 species